rnacentral:misc_RNA from 1 species
ACAUCAAGACCAACAAUCUCCAGGUUUUUCUAAUUUCUCUUCUUGAAGUGACUUUCUCUAAAAAUUUAUUGAAGAGAAUAUUUUGCCACCAAGCAUAUUUUGUGUUUCAUAUAUUUCUGCUUUCAUCUAUACUAUGAAUGAAUAUUGGUAUACUGAUUUCAGUGCAUGUGUGUUUGGAAAUGUGUGUGCAUUUAUUUUCUCAACCCUCAUAAAUAUUCUGGGUGUAUCUUUCAUUAGGAUCCUAA